rnacentral:tRNA from 1 species
GUGGCUCAGCAGGUAGAGCAGCUGAUUCGUAAUCAGCAGGUCGCCGGUCCGAAUCCGGCC